GGGCGUGUAGCUCAGUGGUAGAGCGCCCGCUUUGCAAGAUUAACUUCUACUUCUUCUUCUACAACUGUGGGAGUGGAUGGGAGUUUAUAUCAUCUCAUAUGCGGGAGGUCUAGGGUUCGAUCCCCUACCCGUCCA